rnacentral:rRNA from 1 species
CGCCCUUAGAGUUUGAUCAUGGCUCAGGACGAACGCUGGCGGCGUGCCUAAUACAUGCAAGUCGAACGCAGCUUGCUUUGGUAAGAUGAGUGGCGAACGGGUGAGUAACACGUGGGUAACCUGCCUAUCAGAGGGGGAUAACACUUGGAAACAGGUGCUAAUACCGCAUAGAUUUCUUUCGCAUGAAAAGAGAGGAAAGACGUACGUGUCACUGAUAGAUGGACCCGCGGUGCAUUAGCUAGUUGGUGAGGUAACGGCUCACCAAGGCCAUGAUGCAUAGCCGACCUGAGAGGGUGAUCGGCCACACUGGGACUGAGACACGGCCCAGACUCCUACGGGAGGCAGCAGUAGGGAAUCUUCGGCAAUGGACGAAAGUUUGACCGAGCAACGCCGCGUGAGUGAAGAAGGUUUUCGGAUCGUAAAACUCUGUUGUUAGAGAAGAAUAGGUAGGAGUGACUUCCUGCCAUGACGGUAUCUAACCAGAAAGCCACGGCUAACUACGUGCCAGCAGCCGCGGUAAUACGUAGGUGGCAAGCGUUGUCCGGAUUUAUUGGGCGUAAAGCGAGCGCAGGCGGUUUCUUAAGUCUGAUGUGAAAGCCCCGGCU